rnacentral:rRNA from 1 species
AUGCCAUGCCGGCGGCGAGGCAGCAGCAACAGCAGCAACAGCAGCCCGCGUGCGCAGCCUGCAAGCACCAGCGGCGGCGGUGCACGGCGGAGUGCCCGCUGGCGCGCUACUUCCCGCACGACCGCCCGGACCUCUUCCGCAGCGCGCACCGCCUCUUUGGCGUCAGCAACAUCCUCAAGACGCUCCGCCGCGCUGGCCCCGACCGCGCCCGCCGCGACGACGCCAUGCGCGGCCUCGCCUACGAGGCCGCCGCCUGGGACGCCAACCCGGCCGGCGGCUGCCUCCCCGCCAUCACCGCUCUCGAGAACCAGCUCCGCCAGGAGUACGGCAUCCUCCGCCGCCUCCACGCCCAGAUCCGCCACUGCCGCUGCCGACUACAGACUUCCCCUCCCCUCUCCCUGCCGCCGCCCACGGCAGAUGUAUCUCCGGCGCCGACCGAGGGUAGCAACAUGCACUACUUGGACGAGCACAACUCCACACCAGCAUCGUCAGGAUUAUACGGUAAUGACAACGGUGACGACGGCGUCGUUGCUGCGCCGUCGUUACCGUGGACGAUGCAGCCGCAGUACUACGGGGGCGCCAUUGCCAACAUGGGUGGCGCCGUCUCGCAAGAAGAAAACAAGUAUCAGUUGUUGCUCGAUCACACUGCUACCGCUGGCGGCCAUCAGCACGAGUAUGACGAGAUCUCGCCCUUCUUGGAACUGGAAGGCAUCGACGCCGACGACCACCACGACCGCACGCCACAUGAUGAAUCCAACAGCGCCAACUCAUGGAAGAAGAUGGAGACUAAACCAUCCACGAAGAUGGAGCAAAAUUAAUGAUGAGCUGGGAGUAGUAGUUUCGUUUUGA